rnacentral:lncRNA from 1 species
CGGCGGCGGGACUGGCCCUGCGCCCGGGCACCGCCUGCGCUGCGCCGCCCGGCCUCACUCCGCGGCCCGCCAGGACCCGGCCCCGGUGAACGGGCUCGGGGUGCCGAGGUCCGGCUGCGGGGCCGGGAAGCCACCUCCACCUUGCCGUCUGUUACGACCCCCGAGGCGCAAGGCUGAGCCCCAUCUCGCUAUCCGGGUCCGGAGGGGUUCACCUUAGAAGGAUUUUUUGAAGCUCUUGGCGCUGGCUCUAAAAGAACCCACUUCCUUGCGGAUUUCAGGAGUCAAGAAUCCUUAAACGGAGCCAAUUUGCUUUGUAAAGCCAAUUGCCCAAGUGACUUGAGUUCGAAAGGAGAUACUUCCUGGACAACUGCUAUAAAAACAACAACAAAUACUUUUAUUAAUUCGGGGAGCCUGGUCACCAACUGGAUGCUCAGGGGAGAUGGAACCCUGAGCAGCCCAUGUACAUGGAAGAUCUUUAUUGCAGAGAUCUUCAAACCAGGAAACUGAGGCUAAAGAGUUUAGUAUUCUGCCAAGGCCAGCUAAUAGUUACAGAGCAUGGUUCCAAAUUCAGAGCUGUCGGAAGCUUAAGCCCAUGUGAUGAACCACGAAUGUGAUUUUACCUCAUUUAAGCCUUGCAGCAAACUCUGCCAACUAGUGUGCAUUUACUCCUGCCUCUCCAUGCCUGAAGGAAGGAAUGAAGAGGUCUCUGCUGUCCAUCUGAGCCAGUGACUGGGCUGUCUCUACCAGGCCAGAAUUUGGGGCAGGCAAGAUUUUCAGCAUCCCUAAAAUCACACUAAGAAGAUAAACAUGGAAACAGCUUGGAGCUGCCCUACCCAUAGUGAGGUGGUACUGACUGGAAGACAGCUUAAACGAUUUGGAGAAAAGUGGAAUACAUUAAUCUCAGAAAACUCUACCACCUGUAGAAAGAGAGCUAAAAUGGAGACAACCACAGGCAGUCUAAGAUACGCUGAACUACUACAGAAAAUAAUGCAGCAUGAAGGAAUGCUGGAAGGUAUGGGGUCAGAGCAAGCUGAUGGAGGGUCCUUCAUUUCCAAGCCACGAGUACAGCAGGAUGUAAGGCUUAGUUCAUAAGAACAUCUCCUGAAAGACAAUCUCUAUAAAAACUGUUUCAAUAGAAAGAAUGCAAGAUGUAACUGUUUAAUAAUAGGACUGAUAUUUUAAAAAACAAAUGAACGUAAUAGAAGACUAGAUGGAUGUGCUUCUCAAAGUCCUCUCUGUGGGAGGCUUCAUCCUCACUCUAGAUGUGUUGCCUGUAGCAGCUGUUAUUGAUUACCCGCCCAUAGCCUAUCCAUACUUACUCAUCAUUCCUUUACCUACCAGUGGCAUCCUAUUGGAAGCACCUGCGACUUUCUUAGGGCUUUCUCUUGGCCAAGCAUUGGAAGGCCAGCAGUAUUGAAAAGUUAAUAGUCUUGGAAGCACUGGCCCUCAACUAAUGACAAAGAAAAAAUAUAAGAUAAAUUCCCCAGCUUCCUUGCCUCCUGAAUGGGUCAAGUCUGUGGUGUGUUCUACCCGUUUUUCAGAGGUCCCAUGUUUUAAACCCUAGCUGCUCAAGGCAAUUUCCUGAUCAUUGAUGUACUCUCUAUUGGCUAAUUUUUAGAUAAUAUGGAAUAUGCUCAAAAUAGGAUACUCAAAGAAAAAAUCAGAUGCCAAAAUUAUGUACACCGAAUGAGUUCAAUUCUGUAUAAGUG